GAGGAAUAUUGGUCAAUGGACGCAAGUCUGAACCAGCCACGUCGCGUGAAGGAAGACGGCCCUACGGGUUGUAAACUUCUUUUAUACGGGAAUAAAGUGCCCCACGUGUGGGGUUUUGCAUGUACCGUAUGAAUAAGGAUCGGCUAACUCCGUGCCAGCAGCCGCGGUAAUACGGAGGAUCCGAGCGUUAUCCGGAUUUAUUGGGUUUAAAGGGUGCUCAGGCGGGGGGUUAAGUCGGCGGUGAAAUUUUGCAGCUCAACUGUAAAAGUGCCGUGGAAACUGGUUCCCUUGAGUGCGGAUUAGGUAGGCGGAAUUUUGGGGGUAGCGGUGAAAUGCAAAGAUUACACGAGGAACUCCGAUUGCGCAGGCAGCUUAACAAGCCGUAACUGACGCUCAAGCACGAAGGCGUGGGGAUCAAACA
rnacentral:rRNA from 1 species